rnacentral:rRNA from 1 species
CCAAUAGCGUAUAUUAAAGUUGCUGCAGUUAAAAAGCUCGUAGUUGAAUUUCGGGACCAUCAUGUCGGUCGUGCCUCGGUACGUACUGGUAUUGUUGGUUUCUCCCUUCUGACGAACCAUGAUGUCAUUUAUUUGGUGUUGUGGGGAAUCAGGACUGUUACUUUGAAAAAAUUAGAGUGUUUAAAGCAGGCUCACGCUUGAAUACAUUAGCAUGGAAUAAUGAAAUAGGACGUUUGAUUCUAUUUUGUUGGUUUCUAGGAUCGACGUAAUGAUUAAUAGGGAUAGUUGGGGGCAUUAGUAUUCAAUUGUCAGAGGUGAAAUUCUUGGAUUUAUUGAAGACUAACUACUGCGAAAGCAUUUGCCAAGGAUGUUUUCAUUAAUCAAGAACGAAAGUUAGGGGAUCGAAGACGAUCAGAUACCGUCGUAGUCUUAACCAUAAACUAUGCCGACUAGGGAUCGGAUGAUGUUAAUUUUUUAAUGACUCAUUCGGCGCCUUACA